CAGGGAUGGCUAACUGGAAGUUCCUUUGGUCUCGAGCAGAGUUAGGUAAAUAAGCAUUUAGCUUUCUUGCAGCUUAUUUGUGGAACAACCUUCAACAUGUUCUUAAAUGUGAUGUUGUGGUGCAUCUAAGGCAAUUCAGAAAGAGGACCUUUUUUUACUGAUGAAUGUGGUUUUAUUUCAUUACUGUUUUUCUUUCUGCUUGCAUUUUCUAUUUAUAUGGUGUGUGAAUUUUCCGUAAUGUCUGGCAUUCAGGGCUCAUCUGUAAAAUAUACCUUGGUCUCAGUAUGACGACCUGAUAGAGGUUAAAUAAAACAUUUAAAAAUGGACUUCUCACUCGACUGCUGUGUGUCUAUGAUUUUACCAUCGACAGCCAUCGACAUCAUUAAGCCCUGCACAACUAACAUGCUGUUUCCUAUUUAACAACAGAUCAUAAAUAACGCUCAACUGGGACCACUGGCUGCGGUGAUUUAUUUGGACAAAACACAAUGCAAGGAGAGUACGAUUAACAUCUGCUAUCACCGGUGUCAUGACCCGGAUCAACAGCAUCAAUGUAACAGUUUCGCUUGCAUCCCUCUCCUUGCCCCUACCUGGGCUCGACCCAGGGACCCUCUCUCUGCACACAUCAACAACUGCCUCCCACGAAGCAUCGUUAAUCGUCGCUCCACAAAAGCCGCGGCCCUUGCAGAGCAAGGGGAACAUCUACUUCAAGGUCGCAGAGCAAGUGAUGUCACCGAUUUAAACGCUAUUUAGAGCGCACCCCGCUAAUUAGUUAGCCAUUUCACAUUGGCUACACCGGCGGUCCCCAGUGGCAAUAAAUUAGUCAAACCAAAAGCUUACCUUGACUUGGAAGAGUUCUAGUGUUGCGUUGGAUAGUCAUAGCCAGCUAACAUAGCAUACUUCUGUUUGAGUAGGCUAAACUAGCUAGCUGCAUUUGCUGGCUAAUUAAGUGAAACUGAAAAAUAAAUACUAUCUCUCUCUUGCUUCUCCUUCAUUUUGGAAGAAAAUUAUUUGUUCAAAACAGUUCAACUAUUGUCUUUCUCUUUGAGUCAACUAUUCAC
ensembl:lncRNA